rnacentral:tRNA from 1 species
AUCUUCAGUAGUAUAGUGGUCAGUAUUUCCGCUUGUCAUUACUUCGGUAACACAGCGCGGGAGACCGGGGUUCAAUUCCCCGCUGGAGAG